rnacentral:rRNA from 1 species
GACGAACGCUGGCGGCGUGCCUAAUACAUGCAAGUAGAACGCACAGUUUAUACCGUAGCUUGCUACACCAUAGACUGUGAGUUGCGAACGGGUGAGUAACGCGUAGGUAACCUGCCUGGUAGCGGGGGAUAACUAUUGGAAACGAUAGCUAAUACCGCAUAAUAUUGAUUAUUGCAUGAUAAUUAAUUGAAAGGUGCAAUUGCACCACUACCAGAUGGACCUGCGUUGUAUUAGCUAGUAGGUGAGGUAACGGCUCACCUAGGCGACGAUACAUAGCCGACCUGAGAGGGUGAUCGGCCACACUGGGACUGAGACACGGCCCAGACUCCUACGGGAGGCAGCAGUAGGGAAUCUUCGGCAAUGGACGAAAGUCUGACCGAGCAACGCCGCGUGAGUGAAGAAGGUUUUCGGAUCGUAAAGCUCUGUUGUAAGAGAAGAGUGGGUGUGAGAGUGGAAAGUUCACACUGUGACGGUAUCUUACCAGAAAGGGACGGCUAACUACGUG